UCAUCUUGGCAGACUUUGUAUUUUUAUCCAGCAAGGAACUUGUCCAACCUACCCUCCCCCACAUCUUUUACUUCCAAGGGUUUGCUUUCUGCAGCCACUUUCCUGCCUGCACAGAGGGGAUUUUCCAGAAAAGAGCCCACAGCAUUUCUACUGCUCAGCCAUGCUCCUGUUGCUAAUUUCAGUACUGGGGAUAAUAUUUGUCCUGAGAGAUGCCAGAGCCCAGUCAGUGACUCAGCCUGACAGCCAUGUCAGUGUCUCUGAAGAAGCCUCAUUGGAGCUGAGGUGCAAGUAUUCUUAUAGUGGAGUUCCUUAUCUCUACUGGUAUGUCCAAUACCCUGGCCAAGGCCUCCAGCUUCUCAUCAAGCACUUUUCAGGAGAUAGCUGGGCUCAAGGCAUCAAAGACUUUGGGGCUGAAUUAAAGAAGAAUGAAUCUUCCUUCAACCUGAAGAAAUCCUCAACCCUUUGGAGGGACUCAGCUGUGUACUUCUGUGCGCUGAGUGACACAGUGUCUGGGACUGCAGGGGGAGCUGAACAGAAACCACUCAGCAUGUGGAGUUUUCUCAGACUUAAGAUGUGUUCUUGUGCGGGGAGCAUUUGGCCAUAA